CAGCGACGAUGCGUAGCCGACCUGAGAGGGUGAUCGGCCACACUGGAACUGAGACACGGUCCAGACUCCUACGGGAGGCAGCAGUGGGGAAUAUUGCGCAAUGGGGGAAACCCUGACGCAGCGACGCCGCGUGAGUGAUGAAGGUCUUCGGAUUGUAAACCUCUGUCUUUAGGGACGAUAAUGACCGUGCCUAAGGAGGAAGCCCCGGCUAACUACGUGCCAGCAGCCGCGGUAAUACGUCAGUGGCAAGCGUUGUCCGGAAUUACUGGGCGUAAAGAGUAUGUAGGCGGAUAUUUAAUUCAGAGGUGAAAUCCCCCGGCUCAACCUGGGAGCUGCAUUUGAUACUGGAUGUCUGGAGUGCAGGAGAGGAAAGUGGAAUUCCUAGUGUAGCGGUGAAAUGCGUAUAUAUUAGGAAGAACACCAGUGGGCGAAGGCGACUUUCUGGACUGUAACUGACGCGGAGAUACGAAAGCGUGGGGAGAGAACAAGAUUAGAUACCCUGGGGAUCCACU
rnacentral:rRNA from 1 species